UACAGAGGUCUCGAGCGUUGUUCGGAUUCAUUGGGCGUAAAGGGUGCGUAGGCGGCGCGGUAAGUCGGGUGUGAAAUCUUGGAGCUUAACUCCGAAACUGCAUUCGAUACUGCCGUGCUUGAGGACUGGAGAGGAGACUGGAAUUUACGGUGUAACGGUGAAAUGCGUAGAUAUCGUAAGGAAGACCAGUGGCGAAGGCGGGUCUCUGGACAGUUCCUGACGCUGAGGCACGAAGGCCAGGGGAGCAAACGGA
rnacentral:rRNA from 1 species